AUUGAACGCUGGCGGCAUGCCUUACACAUGCAAGUCGAACGGCAGCGCGGGGGCAACCCUGGCGGCGAGUGGCGAACGGGUGAGUAAUAUAUCGGAACGUACCCUUGGGUGGGGGAUAACGUAGCGAAAGUUACGCUAAUACCGCAUACGAUCUACGGAUGAAAGUGGGGGCUCCGCAAGGACCUCAUGCUCAUGGAGCGGCCGAUAUCUGAUUAGCUAGUUGGUAGGGUAAAAGCCUACCAAGGCAUCGAUCAGUAGCUGGUCUGAGAGGACGACCAGCCACACUGGGAACUGAGACACGGGUCCAGACUCCUACGGGAGGCAGCAGUGGGGAAUUUUUGGACAAUGGGCGAAAGCCUGAUCCAGCAAUGCCGCGUGAGUGAAGAAGGCCUUCGGGUUGUAAAG
rnacentral:rRNA from 1 species